rnacentral:rRNA from 1 species
UGGGGAAUAUUGGACAAUGGGGGCAACCCUGAUCCAGCGAUGCCGCGUGUGUGAAGAAGGCCUGCGGGUUGUAAAGCACUUUAGUUGGGGAGGAAAGGUAUGUACUGCAUAAGUGCAUGCUGUGACGUUACCCAAAGAAUAAGCACCGGCAAACUCUGUGCCAGCAGCCGCGGUAAUACGAAGGGAGCUAGCGUUGUUCGGAAUCACUGGGCGUAAAGCGCACGUAGGUGGGCAGUUAAGUCAGGGGUGAAAGCCCGAGGCUCAACCUCGGAAUUGCCUCUGAUACUGGCUGUCUAGAGUUCGAGAGAGGUGAGUGGAAUUCCUAGUGUAGAGGUGAAAUUCGUAGAUAUUAGGAAGAACACCGGUGGCGAAGGCGGCUCACUGGCUCGAUACUGACACUGAGGUGCGAAAGCGUGGGGAGCAAACAGGAUUAGAUACCCCUGUAGUCCCUGAGCGGGCUGGCAAGGCGCAU